AUGGGCCCAACCGGGCCGGACGGGACCAGUGGGGGGAAAUCUGCCACCGACGAAAGAGGGGGAGGAGAGGCAGGCCCACUGGGCAACGACAAACCGCAAGGCCCAUCAAGCCCACCCGAGGGGACGUCCCGCGGCCCGAUGGCCACCGCGGAGAAAUCGAGAUCUAGGUUACAUGAAGCCACCAGCGACCCCGUCGUCGCUGCUGCCGGCGACGAGGCCACCGCAGAGGCUGCAGGAGAGGGGGAUGGGAGGCCACCAAGCUCCCCAUCAGGCGCACUGCCCAGGACAACGAGAUCAGGUGACGCAACAGCAAACUUACCAGACUUACGCCGCCGCUGA
rnacentral:rRNA from 1 species